GACAUCACACAGGUCCUGUACCUUCUCCCGCAGCACAGCCUGGAGCCCGACUCCUGCACAUGGUGGUAGAAAUUACAGCCCAGGAGGCUCCAUCGUGAAGGGUUGUCAGAAGAGGACACGCCUGCCCCCAGGUUCCUACAAUAUAGGAUCCGCUCACUGGAUAUCUUCUGUAUAAGAUCCUUCUCCGUAUUUACCCGACGAGAAUGGACAGGGACAAGAUGGCGGAGAGUAUAAUAAAUCUCACCCUAGAGAUCCUCUUCCAGUUUACUGGAGAGGACUACAUAGUAGUGAAGAAGACCUCUAGUGAGCGCUGUCAGGACCCUGUGUCUGAAG